rnacentral:lncRNA from 1 species
UAAAUUCGUCUUCUUCCUCGCGUCUUUUCUGAAAUUAACUCAAAUGUUGCUCAAACUACUCUAAAUCACUUCAAAUUUAAACUUUGAACUCCUUUUGAUAUUUUCAAUCAAUCAGAACAACAUUCCAUCCAAAUAAUUAACAAACUAAAAAAAAUUUAUUUUCGAAAGCAAAGCUUUGGAUAACCUUCAAUGAUGGACUUCUACUCUUCAAAUUUUGUUUAAAUUGCAACCAGGUGACAUAAGGGGGGAAGUCUGGAUAACUUUCAAUGAUGGACUUCUACUCUUCAAAUUUUGUUUAAAUUGCUACCAGGUGACAUAAGGGGGGAAGUAAUAAUGGCGGGCGACUCCUCUCACAUAUGUAAAAGAUGUGAGAAGGAGAGAGAGUGAAAGCAAUAUUUGUGAGAACACAGAUUUAACUUCAUAUAGCUUUUAGAAGCAAUGUCUGUAAGAACACAGAUUUUGAAUUUGCAAGAGCUAGUAUUUUCAGAAUAUGUACAAAUAUGGGCUAGGCCGGGUAAUACUGGGGAUUUGCAUCUAUACCCGCUUUUUGUAUCAUGUUUUAACUUGUGCCCGCUUUACAAAAAAAUAAUUAUAAGUGUACCCACUUUUUCGUAUAACUUCAGCAUACGGGGCUAAAUUAGCAAAUGCAGCCACGCAAAACUUUAACAUUCUAGUAGACUUGCCUGAAGCAGCAAGUGUGCUGCAGUUUUUGUUUUUGUAACUUGCUAACUUCAGCUCUAGAGCUAAAGUUUUUAUUCUUGUAACUGGCGAACUUCAGCUCUAGAGCUGACGUAUUUGAAUUGUUACUGUUGAACUUCAGCUCUAGAGCUGACAUUUUUAUUUUGUAACUGUCGAACUUUAGCUACUUCAGCUUUAGAGCAGAAAUUUUUCUUUUAUAACUGUCGAAUUUCAGCUCUAGAGCUGAAGUUUUUAUUUUGAACUGUCGAAGUUUAUGUUUAUAACUGGCGAAGUUUUUUAAACCCUUUUAAGUAUGUACUGCUGCACUCUCUACAUCUACUGUGACGAUAACAAGCAGAAAGAAGUUUGCUCGUUUCUUUCCCUCGUUUUCCAUAACUUAAACUAAUAGUCAAAAACCUUGUUGAGUUUGUUGGAAUCGACUAAAUAAAGUCAUAUAUAAAUAUCGUAUGACAAACUUUUGGCCACCAAAAAAUGGAAGUUUGCGUGAAGUAAUUUAGAUUAGCCACUGUAAUAAUAAUCAAUCCUUUAUAUGUAUUAGUGCUUGUUUUAUUCAUACGUAUAAAAGAUUUGUUGCAGCUGAUGAAAUCAACAAAGUAAUAUGGAGGAAAAGAAAUACGUAGUUGAGGUUGAGAAAGCUAAAGAAGGAAGAGAUGGUUAUAUCAAUGUUAAGUUUCUGAAAGAUAUGAAGUUUACUAGGAGAAUGAGAGUGAAGUUGUUUAAAAAGUAGGAUAUAAGUUAAAUGUGUUUUAUAAAAUGGGUAUAGGUUAAAUGUGGUCGACCAAAUAGGGCGUGCUUGUGCAAUGUUUGAUAAAAUUUUAAGACAUGGG